rnacentral:rRNA from 1 species
UACGGGGGGGGCAAGCGUUGUUCGGAAUUACUGGGCGUAAAGGGCUCGUAGGUGGCCAACUAAGUCAGACGUGAAAUCCCUCAGCUUAACUGGGGAACUGCGUCUGAUACUGGAUGGCUUGAGAUUGGGAGAGGGAUGCGGAAUUCCAGGUGUAGCGGUGAAAUGCGUAGAUAUCUGGAGGAACACCGGUGGCGAAGGCGGCAUCCUGGGCCAACACUGACACUGAGGAGCGAAAGCCAGGGGAGCAAACGGG